UACAGAGGGGGCAAGCGUUAUUCGGAAUUAUUGGGCGUAAAGCGCGUGUAGGCGGUCCGGUAAGUCCGCUGUGAAAGUCGGGGGCUCAACCCUCGAAUGCCGGUGGAUACUGUCGGGCUAGAGUGCGGAAGAGGAGUGUGGAAUUCCUGGUGUAGCGGUGAAAUGCGCAGAUAUCAGGAGGAACACCAAUGGCGAAGGCAGCACUCUGGGACGUGACUGACGCUGAGACGCGAAAAGCGUGGGGAGCAAACAGG
rnacentral:rRNA from 1 species